GUGCCUAUAGUGUAAUGGUUAGCACAAGGGUCUGUGGAUCCCUUAGUUCCGGUUCAAAUCCGGAUAGGCACCCCA
rnacentral:tRNA from 1 species